rnacentral:rRNA from 1 species
GACGAACGCUGGCGGCGUGCUUAACACAUGCAAGUCGAACGGAAAGGCCCUUCUUUUGUGGGGUGCUCGAGUGGCGAACGGGUGAGUAACACGUGAGUAACCUGCCCUUGACUUUGGGAUAACUUCAGGAAACUGGGGCUAAUACCGGAUAGGAGCUCCUGCUGCAUGGUGGGGGUUGGAAAGUUUCGGCUGUUGGGGAUGGACUCGCGGCUUAUCAGCUUGUUGGUGGGGUAGUGGCUUACCAAGGCUUUGACGGGUAGCCGGCCUGAGAGGGUUACCGGCCACAUUGGGACUGAGAUACGGCCCAGACUCCUACGGGAGGCAGCAGUGGGGAAUAUUGAACAAUGGGCGGAAGCCUGAUGCAGAAACGCCGCGUGCGGGAUGACGGCCUUCGGGUUGUAAACCGAUUUCGCCUGUGACGAAGCGUGAGUGACGGUAAUGGGUAAAGAAGCACCGGCUAACUACGUG